UGUAAGAAAUGACACCUAGAUUAUUUUCACUUUUAACCCAAUAACUGAUCCCUCUGAAACCCACAGUGCGGAGUUUCCAGACCCAUGAAGAAGAAGAAGGUGAAGAAGAAGGAAAAAGAAGAGCAUUUGCCAGAUGCCUGGAACUGCCAGUCAAAACCAGUGUAGGCUGUGAUUCUCCUCCAAGCUGGAGACUGGGGGAAACCAGGAUCCUCUACCAAAUAAUUUCCACCGGAUGAGGUUGCUAAGAAGAAAUAUUCUGGGAUCAUCUCUCUGUGAGCAAAGAGAAACCUCAGUAUUGCACUGGAUUGAGAAGCAGGUGCCUAAGAAAGAGUUGUGCCAUCAAAUGGCAGAAAGUGUCAACCCUCUGUAAUCAAUUAUAGAUGUCUCUUUUUUACACUCUCCUUGGAAACUGAGGCAUGGGAAUUUUGAAGAGAAAUAGGAUAUUUAAUGGUCUCAAACUCACAUCCCUGUGCAUGAAUCCUCUCCCAUGUUUUCUUAAAAUUUUGCUCCUUUGCUCAGAAUGGCGACACAUCCUCACUAACGAGCCCAAAUCUGGCAUUUCUUGUGUCACCUCCCCUGGGAGAUGCAAGUGCUUGCUGAGGAAUAGCUGU